GUGGAAGUGACAAAGCUAUGAGUCAUUGCCUCCAAAGGAGACAAGCCACAAACGGUCUUUCUUCCAGCUAUCAGAAGCUAAGAAACAACUGGCUUUCAAUAGUGCUCUUACAUCGUACCGGGAACAUGUGUUACAAAGGUCUGUGAAAUACAGUUUCAUUCCAGCCCUGAUAUCCGUGAAGUAGAACUUCUGCCCUGCUGUGUCCUACGUUGCCCUAGAGGUCCAAGGCACAACGUCCUCCCUUGUUUCCUCAAGGGAAGACUGGCCACAAAGCGUCUUGCUUUCAGCUCUUUUGGAAGUGAAGAAACAACUCGCUCUCCAUAGUGCUCUUAGAGCCUGCCUGCAACAUGUCUCACAAAGGCCUGUGAAACGCAGCCUCUUCACAGCACCGUUCUCCCUGAAGUAGAACAUCUGCUCUACCGUGUCCUACAUUGCCCUAGAGGUGCAAGGCACAAAGUGCUGCCUUGUUUCCUCAAGGGGAAACAGGUCACAAGCAUCCUGCUUCCACUUCUUUGGGAAGCUAAGAAACAACUCUCUCUCCUCAGUGCUCUACAGCCUACCGGGAACAUCUCUUAGAAAUUCCUGUGAAACGCAGUAUGUCCCAGCCCUGAUCUCGCUGUAGUAGAACUUCUUCUCUGCCGUGUAAUACAUUGCCCUAGAGGUGGAAGUCACAAAGCCCUGCCUGACUUCCUUAAGAGGAGUCAGGCCACAGAACGUCUUCCUUCCAGCUCUUUGGUAAAUUGAGAAAGACAUCGCUUUCCCCUGGGCUCUUACAGCCUACUGGGAACCUCCCAUACAAAGUCCUGAAACGCAGUUUGUUUCCAGCCCUGAUCACGUCGCCUUGGAACUUCUGCUCCAAACCAUAUCCUACAUUGCUCUAGAGGUGGAAGUCACUAAGCUCUGAGUCAUUGCCUUCAUAGGAGAUAAGCCACAAACGGUCUUGCUUCCAGCUCUUUGGGAAGCUAAGAACAAUGCACUCUCCACAGUGUUCUUACAGCCUACUGGGAACAUCUCUUACAAAGGCCUGUGAAAUGCAGUUUCAUCCCAGCCCUGAACUCGCUGUAGUAGAACUUCUCCUCUGCCAUGUCUGACAUUGCCCUAGAGAUGCACGGCACAAAGUAUUGCCUUGUUUGCUCAAGGGGAGACAGGCCACAGACAAUCUUGCUUUCAGCACUUUGGCAACGUGGGAAUGAACUUGCUUUCCCCUGGGCUCAUACAGCCUACCGGGACCCUCUAAUACAAAGAACUGAAACAGAGUUUGUAUCCAGCCCUCAUGUCGCCUACUUAGAACAUCUGCUCUAAGCUGUGUUCUACGUUGCUCAAGAGGUGGAAGUCACAAAGCGCUGAGUCAUUGCCUCUAAAGGAGACAAGCCACAAACGGUCUUCCUUCCAGCUCUUUGGGAAGCUAAGAAACAACUGGCUCUCCACAGUGCACUUACAGCCUACUGGGGACAUCUCCUACAAAGCCCUGUGAAACGUAGUUUCUUUCCAGCCCUGAUCUCUCUGAAGUAGAACUUGUGCUCUGCCGUGUCC
rnacentral:lncRNA from 1 species